UGUUGCUCCCAAGACGCAGAUCUGAUCACUGAUCUGAAUUUAGCUGGCGCUGUUAACUACUGGGAUCAUGUUGUGAUGGGCAGUGGACGUCUUACAACGGGUUUCAUUCUGCAAACAGAGAGGACAAACCCAGGCUGCUGCUCUCCUUUCACACAGAGACCAAAGAAGAGUCACUGGGUCCUGAUUGUGAAUGUGGAGCCCAGUGUCUGCUGCAGGAUCCAGAGAUGGCAUCAGCGAAACAGGAAGUCUUCAGUAAAACUCUGGGAUUGAAUGUCAUUAAAGCUGAAGAGGAAAAAGAUACUGGAUAUGAAGAUAAUCAUGCAGAGAGUCCUGAGAUGGAAUCAUGUGCUACAUCUGGAGAGAAACAUCAGGAAGACUACGAAGAUGAGAGGCUUCACCAUUGUCCUGACUGUGGGAAGAGUUUCUCUCAAUUUAGAUAUCUCCAACAUCACCAGCUAAUACAUGCUGGUGUUAAACCUUACUCUUGCUCUGACUGUGGGAAAAGUUUCAUUAAGUCAUCUUAUCUUAACAUUCAUCAGAGGGUGCACACAGGAGAGAAACCUCAUUACUGUUCUGAAUGUGGUAAAAGUUUCUCUCAAAUUGGAAAUCUCAAAAGUCACAAGCAAAUACAUACUAGAGAGAAACCAUUCUCCUGCGCUGACUGUGGGAAGAGUUUCUCUCAGCUUAGAUAUCUCAAACGUCACCAGCUAAUACAUAUUGGAGAGAAACCAUACUCAUGCUCUGACUGUGGGAAGCGUUUCUCACAACUUAUUUCCCUCACCAGUCAUAAACAAAUACAUUCUGAAGUGAAAAAUUACUCCUGUUCUGACUGUGGAAGGAGCUUCUCAAACCUGAGUACCCUCAAAAUUCACCAGCUGAAACAUACUGGUUUGAAGCCUUACUUUUGCUCUGACUGUGGGAAGUGCUUCUCGCAACUAAGUAAACUCAAUAGUCACCAGCUAAUUCAUACUAGUGUUAGAACAUACUCAUGUUUUGACUGUGGGAAAAGUUUCAUUACAUCACAAGAACUUGCUAGUCAUCAUCAAAGAGUGCACACAUAAGACAAGCCUUAUCACUUCUGACUGUCCAAAAUCUCUAGUAACUAAUCUCUGAAGGCACCUGGCGAUUGCAUAGUAGUGUGAAACUGCACUCCUGCACUGACUGUGGGAAGAGAUUCAACAUAAUACCCUGAAAAUCACUAUUAUGUUGUUAGUCAUUAAAGCUGGUUUGAGGGUUUAAAAUGCCAAACUGUGCCAGGUAAUCUAAAGGUCACACAUAGGAGAAAAGAGUUGAUCAUUUCAAUCUUUUGUACAUAUUUGGCUGGGAAACCACUGUGAUAUACGUAUUUCCAGCAAAUGCAUACACACUAUCCACAAAUUACUGUUUUAUUACACAACCUAAUUUGAGCCAUGAACCCCACAGUGUAACAGUAUGCAAUCUCAUCAGUGGCAAUUAAAUAUUACCAGUUGUGUAUGUUUAUUUAAUUUGAAAUCAAUACCAAUGUUAGAUCACCCUGUACUUAAGGUUAUGAUUGUAAUUAACAUAUUUUGUCUGCUCCAGGUUUGGAUACCUCUGCGAUAUUUUCAAAAUAGGAUGCUACCCAUAAAAAAUUGCAUGUCUAAAUUUGUGGAAGAGAACAUAAGAGUAUAUAAAAAAUGCCCAAAAUGCUAGCAGUAGUGCAAAUUAACAAACAGACAGGUGACACAUUAAAGGAAAAACCAAGGUGUCUCAGUACGUUGUUGGGCCACCAUGAGCUGUGAGAACUGCUUCAGUGUGCCUUGGGAUAGAUUAUACAAGUUUCUGUAACUCAGCUGGAGGGAUGGAAUGUUAUUCUUCCAAAGGAUAUUCCCUCAUUUGGUAUUUCAAUGAUGGUGGUGGAGAGCGGUGUACAUUUAAGUAUUUUCUUUCCAUCUUCAUUGUAAAAGCAAGGUCAACUGGUUCUGCUCAGCAUUUUUAUAGAUAUUACAGAACAUGAUAAGAUGGUAAUUGUUCUAUUGUAUCAUGCAGUACACCUGUAUGGAAUGAUAUGCUUUUGUUAUGUUCCUCCUCAGUUAUUGAGGGUUUUUUCUGUAUUUUCAUCUUCCGUCUGUGUAAUUAGACAAGAGCGAUAUUUCAUGAAAAUGGCUAAACACAUUCUGGGUUCCUUGGACAUAUCUGACUUCUCAUAGACAGAUCAGAGAGUCGCUGAGUUUUGGUUUCCAUAAUGUCUGGAUUUCGUUUAAUUCAUUAGUGAAAUGUAGUUUGGUUGAUCUGACAUCUCUCACGUGUGAACGGAAUGUUUAAAACCACUGAUAAAAUGUGGAGGACACGAUGGAGUUAAAAGAUUGCGCACAAUAUUUUAUUAAUAAAAUGUUAUUGUUACCGCCUACAAUCA